GCAGCAGUAGGGAUUCUUCCGCAAUGGACGCAAGUCUGACGGAGCAACGCCGCGUGAGUGAUGAAGGUUUUCGGAUCGUAAAGCUCUGUUGCCCUAGACGAACAGCAAGGCGAGUAACUGCACUUUGUGUGACGGUAUAGGAGAAGAAAGCCCCGGCAAACUACGUGCCAGCAGCCGCGGUAAUACGUAGGGGGCAAGCGUUGUCCGGAAUUAUUGGGCGUAAAGCGCGCGCAGGCGGUUCGUUAAGUUGGGUGUUUAAGCCCGGGGCUCAACCCCGGUUCGCAUCCAAAACUGGCGGACUUGAGUGUAGGAGAGGAAAGUGGAAUUCCACGUGUAGCGGUGAAAUGCGUAGAGAUGUGGAGGAACACCAGUGGCGAAGGCGACUUUCUGGCCUAUAACUGACGCUGAGGCGCGAAAGCGUGGGGAGCAAACAGGAUUAGAUACCCUGGUAGUCCACGCCGUAAACGAUGCAUACUAGGUGUCGGGGAUUCGA
rnacentral:rRNA from 1 species